rnacentral:rRNA from 1 species
ACACUCCUGCGGGAGGCAGCAGUGGGGAAUUUUGGACAAUGGGCGAAAGCCUGAUCCAGCAAUGCCGCGUGAGUGAAGAAGGCCUUCGGGUUGUAAAGCUCUUUUGUCAGGGAAGAAACGGUGAGAGCUAAUAUCUUUUGCUAAUGACGGUACCUGAAGAAUAAGCACCGGCUAACUACGUGCCAGCAGCCGCGGUAAUACGUAGGGUGCAAGCGUUAAUCGGAAUUACUGGGCGUAAAGCGUGCACAGGCGGUUUUGUAAGUCUGAUGUGAAAUCCCCGGGCUCAACCUGGGAAUUGCAUUGGAGACUGCAAGGCUAGAAUCUGGCAGAGGGGGGUAGAAUUCCACGUGUAGCAGUGAAAUGCGUAGAUAUGUGGAGGAACACCGAUGGCGAAGGCAGCCCCCUGGGUCAAGAUUGACGCUCAUGCACGAAAGCGUGGGGAGCAAACAGGAUUAGAUACCCCGGUAGUCCCAUG